CCUGCUGUCCCGCUGCCUCUGCCCCGUGCUCUCGGGGGAUCGUGUCUCCCUGGCUGUGGGGGAAGCUGAGCAUGGAGUCAGACAUCACUGCCUGAGCCAAGGAAAAAGUAUUUCAGAGGAAUGGAAAGCCUCCCUCGACCCACCAAAGAAAUGCCACAGAACCUGCCUCUUCCAGACAGUACCGUCCCAAAGAGAGACCCUUCCAGCUUUAGACAAAGUUCCAGUUCACAAACCUCUCUCUCAGCCUCCACCAUCAAGUCAUGCUCUCAGCAAGGUUUGCAGACUGACCCAGGAGACCAUGGGAGAAAAGCGAACGGUAGGGCUGCCCCUUGCUGCCCUGCUUUCCUACAGGCUAACAGCCACUGCAGGAGGCCCAGGCCCUGGGACUUUUCAGCUGUCCGCCAGCCGGCCUGCCAGUCCAGAAGGGUCUCCGUCUCAGUGGCAGUAAAUAGACCUGCGCGCCUUGCUCGGGUUGUGUGUUCUUGGAGUGGGGAUCAUUCCCUGACCCCAGUGCCUGAAUACGCACACAUUCGCUCCUUUAGCUAAGAGCUCAGGCCCGGUGUUCAAUCUUUGCAAGAACUUAAUACAGUGGACCCCUCUCCUAACCUAAGACCUCGAUGCAUGAAGGUCCCUCCUUCCCAGAUGAGACGGAGCCUCGACAUGACUCCACACAGAAGUGCUCCCUAGGAGAUCCCAGUGUUAGAAGGAACUGACCUUUACUUCUGUUUCCCUUUGGACAGGGAACUGGAGAAGCAGUUUGGUUCUCUUGGACUUUUUUGUUUUCCCUUUAGGACCUCAAGUUCCCUCUGACAGUGCACCAUUCUGGUAAGCUGGGCUUUACACGUCCCCUGUUCGACUCGCCCAAGCCCCCAAAAUUCAAAACUCACUUCCCAAACAUGCAGAAGGCAACCAAAACAACAAGGUGAGAUUGUCGAGAACAAAAGCAUCCAAGUCCUGAAGCAGGUUUUAGAGUGGCUGCCCUGCAGAUUCGCUUUCUGCAGGUUUCCUGACCUGCGCUCUGGCUUCAGCCACAUCCAGAAGUAGUCCAAGCUCCUUUCUGAGGGGAGAAAAUGGCAAACCGGCUUCGGAGUCACGGAGGAAACCCGAGAGAUAAGGUAGGUUUCAUGCUUGUUUUCCAAGCUCUGUUCUCCCAAAUGCCCCAGCAUCGUGCACUUCUGUAAGCCCCAGCUGCAGGCUCGCCUCAGGGACGAUUUUCCUUUGUGUGCCAAGUUGAAGGGAGCACUGAAAAGGUCAGCUCUCUGGAUUCGUACAUUUUAAGGGAGUAUUUAAAACUCAAGACGAAUGCACAAGAAUCCCACGACGACCAAAUGAUCACAGUUUGAAAUAAAGGCAAGAUCCCACCGCGCACUCGCACCACGGUGCCUCCGUCUCCUCGCCCUGAUCUCCAUCCCGAUGCAACAGAAGGUUCUUUACCAAAACAGACGCGCAGCCCCGGUUUCCUGACUGGACUCCCUUAGGGACGGCCUGCAGGUAUUUCCCUUGAUGCCCUGGAGGCAUCGCCCCCACCUCAGGCUCCAGGGCGGGCAGACGCCAGUGGCUGGAGCCCCCUGGGGAGCUC
ensembl:lncRNA